rnacentral:rRNA from 1 species
UGCAAGUCGAACGCGGUUGCCCCGCAAGGGGUAACUGAGUUGGCGAACGGGUGAGUAACACGUGGGUGACCUACCUUCGAGUGGGGGAUAACGUCCCGAAAGGGACGCUAAUACCGCAUAACAUCCUGCCUUUGAACAGGUGGAGAUCAAAGCUGGGGAUCGCAAGACCCGGCGCUUGAUGAGGGGCCCGCGUCCGAUUAGCUAGUUGGUGAGGUAAUGGCUCACCAAGGCAACGAUCGGUAGCCGGCCUGAGAGGGCGGACGGCCGCACUGGGACUGAGACACGGCCCAGACUCCUACGGGAGGCAGCAGUGGGGAAUUGUUCGCAAUGGGCGCAAGCCUGACGACGCAACGCCGCGUGGAGGAUGAAGGUCUUCGGAUUGUAAACUCCUGUUGCCCGGGACGAAUGGCUCCGACCUAAUACGUCGGAGUGUGACGGUACCGGGUGAGGAAGCCCCGGCUAACUCUGUGCCAGCAGCCGCGGUAAUACAGAGGGGGCAAGCGUUGUUCGGAAUUACUGGGCGUAAAGGGCGCGUAGGCGGCCCGUCAAGUCGAACGUGAAAUCCCCGGGCUCAACCCGGGAACUGCGUCCGAUACUGGCAGGCUUGAAUUCGGGAGAGGGAUGCGGAAUUCCAGGUGUAGCGGUGAAAUGCGUAGAUAUCUGGAGGAACACCGGUGGCGAAGGCGGCAUCCUGGACCGAUAUUGACGCUGAGGCGCGA